CCCGCCUGCCCAGUGACUAAUUUCAACGGCCGCGGUAUCAUGACCGUGCAAAGGUAGCGUAAUCACUUGUCUUUUAAAUAAAGACCUGUAUGAAAGGCAAAACGAAAGUUCAACUGUCUCUUUAAUCCAAUCAGUGAAAUUUAUCUUUUCGUGCAGAAGCGAAAAUAAGAAUAUAAGACGAGAAGACCCUAUGGAGCUUUAAACACACUACUAACUAUUCUACAAUAUUUUAACCAAUAGGCAAAACCAUAAACCACAUAGCCAUAGUAUAAGUUUUGGGUUGGGGCGACCACGAAGAAAAAAAAAUCCUUCGAGAUAAAUAAUUUAGAACAACAAUUCAAAAAUUAAAACAUUUAUUAUAAAUGAUCCACUAAGUGACCAACGAACCAAGUUACCCUAGGGAUAACAGCGCAAUCCUUUCUAAGAGUCCAUAUCGACGAAUGGGUUUACGACCUCGAUGUUGGAUCAGGACACCCAAAUGGUGCAGCAGCUAUUAAAGGUUCGUUUGUUCAACGAUUAAAGUCCUAC
rnacentral:rRNA from 1 species